rnacentral:pre_miRNA from 1 species
CUUAUACUUUCUCCGUUCGGAAUUAUUUGUCUCGGAAAUGGAUGUAUCUAGAACUAAAAUACGUCUAGAUACAUCCAUUUCUAUGACAAGUAAUUCCGAACGGAGGGAGUACACA